rnacentral:rRNA from 1 species
AUUGAACGCUGGCGGCAGGCUUAACACAUGCAAGUCGAGCGGGGGAAGGUAGCUUGCUACCGGACCUAGCGGCGGACGGGUGAGUAAUGCUUAGGAAUCUGCCUAUUAGUGGGGGACAACAUCUCGAAAGGGAUGCUAAUACCGCAUACGUCCUAAGGGAGAAAGCAGGGGAUCUUCGGACCUUGCGCUAAUAGAUGAGCCUAAGUCGGAUUAGCUAGUUGGUGGGGUAAAGGCCUACCAAGGCGACGAUCUGUAGCGGGUCUGAGAGGAUGAUCCGCCGCACUGGGACUGAGACACGGCCCAGACUCCUACGGGAGGCAGCAGUGGGGAAUAUUGGACAAUGGGGGGAACCCUGAUCCAGCCAUGCCGCGUGUGUGAAGAAGGCCUUAUGGUUGUAAAGCACUUUAAGCGAGGAGGAGGCUACUCUAGUUAAUACCUAGGGAUAGUGGACGUUACUCGCAGAAUAAGCACCGGCUAACUCUGUGCCAGCCGCCGCGGUAA